rnacentral:rRNA from 1 species
GAUGAACGCUGGCGGCGUGCCUAAUACAUGCAAGUCGAGCGAAUGGAUUAAGAGCUUGCUCUUAUGAAGUUAGCGGCGGACGGGUGAGUAACACGUGGGUAACCUGCCCAUAAGACUGGGAUAACUCCGGGAAACCGGGGCUAAUACCGGAUAACAUUUUGAACCGCAUGGUUCGAAAUUGAAAGGCGGCUUCGGCUGUCACUUAUGGAUGGACCCGCGUCGCAUUAGCUAGUUGGUGAGGUAACGGCUCACCAAGGCAACGAUGCGUAGCCGACCUGGAAGGGUGAUCGGCCGCACUGGGACUGAGACACGGCCCAGACUCCUACGGGAGGCAGCAGUAGGGAGUCUUCCGCAAUGGACGAAAGUCUGACGGAGCAACGCCGCGUGAGUGAUGAAGGCUUUCGGGUCGUAAAACUCUGUUGUUAGGGAAGAACAAGUGCUAGUUGAAUAAGCUGGCACCUUGACGGUACCUAACCAGAAAGCCACGGCUAACUACGUGCCAGCCGCCGCGGUAA